ACCACGCCUGGCCGGGUAGAAGGGGACAAAUUUGAGGUUAAACACCCCAUUCUCCAUGCUCACAAAGCUUUGGACUGGGAGCAGAUGGACCUUCUAACUAGCAGAGCAGCUGAUGUCCAGUUCAGAAACUACCAUUGUUAAGGCUCAGGGACAAAACUAUGGCCAGCAGGUUUUGAAUUCACUGUUACACAUCCGCGGAGACGGGCAAAGAGGACAUCCUAGUUGGACUUCUCUCAAGGGGGGCGGUUGCCCUGCAGCACAGGGCAUGGGUUCAAAUCUCAGUUCUGCACAGCCUUGUGAGACCCACUGUGCCAGUUUGUGCUUCAGUCAAAAACAAUGUUAAUUACAAACAGCUGCUCUUUGGGAUGAGGUGCACCAUGAAAGGUGCUAUAUAAAAUGGAAAUUGCACAUGAUUGUUUUUAAUUCCUGUAGAUUACAAAUAGUGGUAUCAAGAGAGUGUGUGCUUUAGGCAGAUGUUUAUCUUGAAAGGCGCUAUACAAAGAGUGCAGGUAACUAUUCUUAUUUCCUGGCAUUGCAUUCAUUGAUAAGAAUGAGCACUUUUGGUAGAGGUUCAUCUGGAAAGGCGCUAUAUACAGGUUGCAGAUCAUUGUUUUAAUUUCUUGGCCCUUACAAAAACUAGAAUUGACAAUUUGGACUUGGUAAGUGAAAUGCUGGACAGGUGAAAUGCAGGUAAGUGCAUUACAGUCACUGGUACUGAUGAGGUUGUAUACUUUUAGUGAACCUUUUUGUAUACUGUUAAAAAAGUCAGUUCUGAAAGACAGCGCUUUUAAUUUAUAUAGUGACUUACUUUAAUGAAAGCUAUUCCAGUUAAUGCUCAUUGUAGUUCCAGGGGGUGGGGUCACUAAGAAUAUUAUGGCUGAGGAGGAUUCAUUCUGGUGAUUCUAUAUAGCGCCUUUCAUAGCAAACGCCAUAAAAGAUGCUUCACAGGGGCAGCACUCUUGUGGACUCUGACGGGUGAACUGACUGGGUAUCUGUGACGAUGCGACUCUCUUCACGACUGUUUCGUUUUCUGUUUUCCGUCACCAGCUUUCAACGAGACAGUGUAGUGUCUUCCCGUAGCGUCCUGUUGAAUAUAAUUAACUGUGCCCAGUUAGUCGUCAACAUUAAAAGUAAAAGAUCAGAGAAGUGGCAUGUACCUGCAUUCUUUGCAGGAUUUUGGACAGCGUUGUUGACGUCACUCCUCGAAGAGGUCCUAUCGGCCGCCGCCUGUCCCGUUUCUUUUGGAGUCGUUUACUUUGCUGUCGCUGGUUUGGAAGCGGCAAGACGGGAAAGUGCGGUAAAGUUUUAAAGAAACACACUUUUUUGUGGCUUAGUUGUCGGCUGGGAAGGAGCGUUUCAUCGGCAGGAGGUGUAGGUGAGCGCGCAACAGCGCCAUCUGGUGACCAGGUGAGCGAUCACGCACGCACGCACGCAUGCACGCGCGGUCAGUUCAUAUGUUUAAGGAGGCGCGUGACAGGGGAAUGGGUGUGCAGAUCCCUGGUCAGCUGAUGUCGGGCGAAGCUUAUAAAAGCUUAUCGCGAAUGCAGACGAGAGAGAAAAAAAAGAGCUGAGAGAAUCGGAGGUCAUUCAGGAUGGCUUACGGAUGUUUAUAAUGAAAGGCGCUAUAUAAACAUUGCAGUGAUUCUGCAGGAGCUGCAGGAAGGCCUACAACUUGUGUGAUCGCUGCCAGCCGAGCGAUGUUCCCUCCAGGCGGAGACGCACGAUUCAGGAGGGACAGCGGUGGCGUGCGAUCGAGAGCCACUGGCGAAGGAGGAUCGGCGUGCUGCUGGAACGUCUGACUGGAGAGGCACAGCGGGGAAGGUGGAUGCUUUUUUGUUGACAAUAAUUUACCUGCCACUUCACACAGAAGAAAUCCAAACAUCUAUCUAUUAUCCUAACUACAGGGUCACGGGAGUCUGCUGAAGCCAAUCCCAGCCAACACAGGGUGCAAGGCAGGAAACAAACCCUGGGCAGGGCGCCAGCCCACUGCAGAGAAGAAAUCCUUUUUGAAAAUAAAACAGCACUGAUCGAGAGACAUACUAGGUCAUCAUACAAGAUCAGCGUAUCGUUACUGAUCCUUUAAAAAAGUCAUUUAACAACGAAGAGUAACAAGCCUUGUAAAAUUCCUGAGAGGGCAACGUCUCUACUGAACUACAGAGUGAAGGAAGACAUCCUGGAGGACCUCUGAUGACAUUUCCACCCAAACUACAGAAUUCUGUCCCUUCUGGUCCUUUCCACUAUUUAAGAAGAGCUCAGUCCAGAAGUUACCAUUUAUCGAUGGACCUGGUACUGGACAGGAAAGAUCCUUUUACGAGGAAGCAACCAAUAUCGGCUGAGGAAGCCAUACUUUGGAGCAGAAUGCCCUUGGAUUUUUGUUUCCAUUUCUGUUUGUGUCUAUUUACACCAGAUUAAGUGGAGCAUCCAUCUUGGUACCCCAACAUUUGAACUUUUCAUGUUUCUAUUUAUUAUAGUGGCAUAAUCGGCAGGAUUAUCCCUAGAAGAUGAUGGACCAAACAGAUCUCAGGAACUAAUAGAGCAGCUGCGAGACCAAGUAAGGCAGGUUCAAGUGAAAAUGACCAUGCAGAAUACAAGGUGAACAGCCAAAGAGACCCAGUGCACCGAACAAGCUAAUGACCCUACAUAGGUACAUAAGCCACUUUGAACAAAAGAUGACAUUGAAACUCACUUACUAUUCUUUGAAUGCACUGCUACUCGACAUCACUAGCCAGAUUCAAUAGGGAUUCCCUCUAUGGACCCCAACCCUUUAACGGUCACUGUUCCUAUUUAUUACAGUGGCGUAAUUGGCAGGAUUAUUCCUGGAAGAUGACAGACCAGACAGACCUCAUGGGACUAAUUCAGCAGCUGGCUGACCACGUAAAGCAGUUACAAGUGCAGAUUACCAUUCACAAUACAAGGUGAACAGCCAAAGAAACACUGUUUCUAUAUAUUGCAGUGGCGUAAUCGGCAGGACAGAGCUCAUGGGACUAAUACAGCAGACCAAGUGAAGGUAGUUACAAGUGCAGAUGGACACGGAUUGGAAAAGUGAAAAUGCACUGAACAAGCCCAAAGCCCUUGUCACUUUAAGCAAAGGACAACAUCAAAGCAUUUGUACUAUUGUCUGAAUGUACUGCUAUUAGACAUCACUGGCCUGAUUAAACAAGGCAUCCAUCCCUCUUGGGGCCCCAACCCUUUAACUGUUCUCGUUUCCUUUUAUUACCAUAUACAGUCAUAUGAAAAAGUUUGGGAAGCCCUCUUAAUUCUUUGGAUUUUUGUUUCUCAUUGGCCGAGCUUUCAAAGUAGCAACUUCCUUGUAAUAUAUGACAUGCCUUAUGGACACAGUAGGAUUUCAGUAGUGACAUUCAGUUUAUUGGAUUAACAGAAAAUAUGCAAUAUGCAUCAUAACAAAAUUAGACCGAUGCAUAAAUGUGGGCACCCCAACAGAGAUAUGACAUCAAUACUUAGUUGAGCCUCUCUAACAGCCUCUAGACGCUGUCCUCCUAUAGCCUUUGAGGAGUGUCUGGAUUCUGGAUGCAGGUAUUGUUGACCAUGCUUCAUACAAAAUCUCUCCAGUUCAGUUCAAUUUGAUGGACAGCCUGCUUCAAAUCAUCCCAUAGAUUUUUGAUGAUAUUCAAGUCAGAGGACUGUGACGGCCAUUCCAGAACAUUGUACUUCUCCCUCUGCAUGAAUGCCUUUGUAGAUUUCCAACUGUGUUUUGGAUCAUUGUCUUGUUGGAAUAUCCAACCCCUGCGUAACUUCAGCUUUGUGACUGAUGUUUGACAUUAUCCUGAAGAAUUUGUUGAUAUUGGGUUGAAUUCAUGCGACCCUCAACUUUAACAAGGGUCCCAGUGCCUGAACUAGCCACACAGCCCCACAGCAUGAUGGAACCUCCACCAAAUUUAACAGUAGGUAGCAGGUGUUUUUCUUGGAAUGCGGUGUUCUUCUUCCGCCAUGCAUAGUACUUUUUGUUCUGACCAAAUAACUCCAUUUUUGUCUCAUCAGUCCAAAGCACUUUGUUCCAAAAUGAAUCUAGCUUGUCUAAUUGAGCAUUGGCAUACAACAAGCGACUCUGUUUGUGGCGUGAGUGCAGAAAGGGCUUCUUUCUCAUCACCCUGCCAUACAGAUGUAAUUUGUGCAAAUUGCGUUGAAUUGUAGAACGAUGUACAGGUACACCAUCUGCAGCAAGAUGUUCUUGCAGGUCUUUGGAGGUGAUCUGUGGUUGUCUGUCACCAUUCUCACAAUCCUGCUCAUAUGUCGCUCCUGUAUUUUUCUUGGCCUGCCAGACCUGCUGGGUUUAACAGCAACUGUGCCUGUGGCCUUCCAUUUCCUGAUUACAUUCCUUACAGUUACAGAAACUGACAGGUUAAUAAUAAUAAUAAUAAUAAUAUCCAUCCAUCUAUUUUCCAACCCGCUGAAUCUGAACACAGGGUCACGGGGGUCUGCUGGAGCCAAUCCCAGCCAACACAGGGCACAAGGCAAGAACCAAUCCCGGGCAGGGUGCCAACCCACUGCAGAUAAUAAUAAUAAUAUAUCUUAUUUAUACAAGGCACCUUUCUGAGAACGCAAGGACACCGAACAAACAAUAAAUAAAUAAAUAAGAGACACAAUUAUAAACAACUACAAACAUCAGAAAAUAUAAAAAUUAAAACCAAACAUAACCACUGUAAUCAUAAAGAAAAAGCCAUUUUAAACAGACGCGCUUUAAGUUUACAUUUGAAGGAUGAUUAUGAUUUGAUAUUUCUAAACUCGGUAGGUAAUGAAUUCCAGAGCUUGGGAGCAGAACGACUGAAUGCUCUGCUCCCCAUGGUGGUUAGACGGGCAAGAGGGACGGUCAGAUGGAUGGAAGAAGAGGAUCUAAGGUUACGGGAGGGAACGGCAACAUGAAGAAGGUCAGACAGGUAUGGAGGGGCGAGGUUAUGCAUGGCCUUAAAUGUUAAUAACAGAAUUUUAAAAUCAAUUCGAAACUUAAUCGGGAGCCAAUGAAGCUGCUGCAAGACUGGAGUAAUAUGGUGAAUAUAGGGGGUUCUAGUAGUGAUGCGUGCUGCAGAAUUCUGGGCCAGCUGAAGCUUAUGGAGAGAUUUAUUAAAGAGACCAAAGAGGAGUGAAUUGCAAUAGUCCAGCCGAGAAGUAACAAGACUAUGAACAAGAAUGGCGGUGGUAUGGGGAGUGAGGGAGGGGCGGAUGCGAUUAACAUUACGUAUUUGGAAGUAAGCAGACCGGGUGACGUUAUUAAUGUGAGAUUGGAAAGAUAGAGUACCGUCGAGGAUGACACCCAGACUCUUGACCUGAGGUGAUGGGGAAACAACGGAGUUAUCAAUAAUAAGUGAAAGAUUAUUGGCUUUGGAUAAUGAUGAUUUUGAACCAAUGAGGAGAACCUCAGUUUUGUCACUGUUUAAUUUAAGAAAAUUCGAAGUUUAAACCUCUGAGAUAGCUUUUUGUAGCCUUCCCCUAAACCAGGAGACUGAACAAUCUUUGUUUUCAGAUCUUUGGAGAGUUGCUUUGAGGAUCCCAUGCUGUCACUCUUCAGAGGAGAGUCAAAGGGAAGGUAGCACAACUUGCAGCUGACCACCGUAGCUCUUUUAGGGCGGAUGUCGACUUUUGUCGACAGGAGGGGUUGAGGGCGAAUGUCGACAAAAGUCGACAUAGAGGGAUAGAGGGCGACAAUCAGCUGUUAAUGGCGACAAAACUCACUGUCACGUCGCAGGCAUUCCCUCUGUGCUUGGAGGAAUGCUAGACUCGUUGACUCGGCAACUAAUCCUUGCGUGUGCGUGAGUUGCGAAAUGUAAACAAAGGCAAGAUGGCAUCGACAUGUCACAAGGGAGCGAAGCGAGUGCAGAAAAGAAAACACUCGGCAGACCAUGUUUUGCGCAUUAUCGCGGAGUCGGACUCUGAUUUUUCAGAAUUGGAUUUUAUUGACAGCGAUCAGGAGAUCGAACAAGAGAGUGAGAAGCCGGCAUCAGCUGAUCGGACACCAGCCGAUGCCACGCCAGCUGAUCCGCUGCCAGCUGAACAAUUCGUGCAGCCGAUGCAUCUACGGCAAAGUUCGCGUGGGAGGAAUACAGAGACAUUGAUCCGUGGGCUACCGGACUUCACAAGACGGCAUGGCUUGCUGUUGGACACGACAGAUCACCAGCUGCUGAACUACUUCAGGCUGCUCUCUCCUGGUGCUGCUUUUCAGCUACUGUCAGAUGAGACAAACAGGUAGGCAGAGAAAUUUUUUGAAUCGCGGGCUGCGCUUGCAUCGCAUUCUCAUUUUUCAAAGUGGAAACCCACAACAAAAGACGAGAUGAAGCGCGCUGUGGCAUUACAAAUAGAGAUGGGACAGAACUGGUGAUAUAACUUCAGAGAGCAUUGGUCCAAACGUGCUUUGUCCCCUGGUGGCUUUGGACAGGUUAUGCCGCGUGAUGAUAGGUACAUGCUGCUGCAAAGUUUUAUUCAGAAAACUUGGUGGCAGUGGCAUGGCACGAUGGCAAACGGGUGACUUGUCUCUCUACAGUACACACUAACAAUAUAUGUGAGAAAGUACAGCAACAGACAAUUGAAAAGUAGGCACCAAAGCAACACAUAUGGUAAGCAGUGCAAUGUGGCAAUGACUGAAAUUGGCUGCUUUGAGCGAGAUCAGGCUUUGCAGGACUUUGCUGUGUAAAAUGUGUGUGAUAUGUAUGUGAAAUCAUAGAGUAUGCAGGCUCAUACAACAUGCAAGACAGUAACAUUUGUCAAAAGUAAAUAUUUUUGGUUGAUUUCAAUUGCUUUGUGUUUUUUUUUUUAAAAAAGUUAGUUUUUGGAAAAAUAUUCAGCCCUGGGAGAAAAGAAACAAAAAAAAAUUAGCCCUAAAAGAGUUAAAUACCUUUAUAUCUCAUGAUUGGACACACCUGUCUAUGAAGUUCAAGGCUUCACGAGCUCAUCAACCAAGUAAUCAGCAUUGAACAGUGACAGGCAUUCAAAUCAGCAAAAUAACAAGAGGACCCACAUUUGUGCACAGCCAGUUUUUCACAUUUGAUUUCACUUCAUACAACUAAAUACUGCGUCACUAAAAAUCUUUGUUCAGAAAACACCGCAGUACUCAGAUGUUCCUAGGAAAUGAAAGACAUACCACUGCUAUCUUUCUGGUUGAAAGUCAAGUAAAUUAUUAUGCAGGCUGAGAGGGGUUCCCAAACUUUUUCAUAUGACAGUGAAUUGAAUGCCAUUGCUCACCCAUUCUGUCUGUUGCCAACCACUUCAUGGAUGUGCAGAAAGUUGCUGUUGUGGUAAAAAAUAUUAUAAUAAGAUAAAUUACAUCUUGCCUGAAGAAGGGGCCUGAGUUACCUCGAAAGCCUGCAUAUUGUAAUCUUUUUAGUUAGCCAAUAAAAGGUGUCAUUUUGCUUGGCUUUUCUCUAUAAUAAGAUAAAUUAAUUAAUAGUUGUGAGGUUUGGAUUUUAUAUCUUAUUAAGUACAUUUAGCAAAGUUCACUAUAUAAUGUAAAAGCGUUUUCAGGUAAUCAAGGGCAGCUGAAACAAGAUGCAAGCAGACUACAUUAGGCUGUCAGCAGUAAACUCUCUGUUUAUUUGCUGUAUGAGGAAGGUAUCUGCCUUCAGCUUCUGUGCUAAUAAAGAAAGAAGCUGAAAAUGGCAACACAAACACGUGAUGCUUGGCAUUAAUGAUCUACGUGUUUUUGCUGACAGUGUUUACUUAUAAUUUAGUACGGGUCAUUUUGCCCUGUGUCCAGCUAGCAAUUGCAAACAACAAAUGAUGAUAAGAAACUUUGUAUGAUGUAAGCAAUCUAAUUCUGUACCUUUUACUUUUGUAUAAAAAAGACCUCAUCUAGCGAAAAAGGUGGGUAUCUUGUUAUGGAAUGCUGUGUGCGACUCUAAGCAGGCUCCUAUCAAUCAUGGAGAAUCCACUGCAUCCACUGAACAGGAUCAUCUCCAGACAGAGGAGCAGCUUCAGCGACAGACUGCUGUCACCGUUCUGCUCCACUGACAGACUGAGGAGAUCAUUCCUCCGCCACACUAUGCGACUCUUCAAUUCCACCCGGGAGGGAUUUUCGCUACCGCAUACUGAAAAAUAAAGGCGGCCAUUCAUUUAAACGGAUAUGUUGGCGUAAAUGCAGGACGUGUCUGAAGAGCGGCAUCUGCCAGGGGAUUUCACUCUUUCACUCUCUACAUUUCUUUCCUGUUUACCUUUAAUUCCUGGGACAUUAUUUGAUUGAGAUAUACUUUUUGUGCAAGUUUUAAAAAUAAAGAAAAUUUGCAUUGACAUUUGAAUGUCAGUAAUUCAGUAAAAAUUAUCCUUAGACAUUUGAUUUCAUUUUUUUUUUGAAAAUAUAACUCAGUUGUUGUUGACUAUCUGUGUAUGUUCAAAUAAAUAAAGAUAUAUGGAAUUUUA